GGCUAAUCCGAGUGCAGUGGUGUUUACAACUAAUUGAUCACAACCAGUUACAGAUUUCUUUGUUUCUUCUCCACUCCCACUGUUUCACUUGACUAGCCUUAA
ensembl:misc_RNA Y_RNA Y RNA